CCUACGGGAGGCAGCAGUGAGGAAUAUUGGUCAAUGGACGCAAGUCUGAACCAGCCAUGCCGCGUGCAGGAAGACGGCUCUAUGAGUUGUAAACUGCUUUUGUACGAGGGUAAACGCAGAUACGCGUAUCUGUCUGAAAGUAUCGUACGAAUAAGGAUCGGCUAACUCCGUGCCAGCAGCCGCGGUAAUACGGAGGAUUCAAGCGUUAUCCGGAUUUAUUGGGUUUAAAGGGUGCGUAGGCGGUCGGAUAAGUUAGAGGUGAAAUCCCGAGGCUCAACUUUGGAAUUGCCUCUGAUACUGUUCGUCUAGAGAGUAGUUGCGGUAGGCGGAAUGUAUGGUGUAGCGGUGAAAUGCUUAGAGAUCAUACAGAACACCGAUUGCGAAGGCAGCUUACCAAGCUACUUCUGACGUUGAGGCACGAAAGCGUGGGGAGCAAACAGGAUUAGAUACCCGGGUAGUC
rnacentral:rRNA from 1 species